rnacentral:rRNA from 1 species
GAUGAACGCUGGCGGCGUGCCUAAUACAUGCAAGUCGAGCGAACAGACGAGGAGCUUGCUCCUCUGACGUUAGCGGCGGACGGGUGAGUAACACGUGGAUAACCUACCUAUAAGACUGGGAUAACUUCGGGAAACCGGAGCUAAUACCGGAUAAUAUAUUGAACCGCAUGGUUCAAUAGUGGAAGACGGUUUUGCUGUCACUUAUAGAUGGAUCCGCGCCGCAUUAGCUAGUUGGUAAGGUAACGGCUUACCAAGGCGACGAUGCGUAGCCGACCUGAGAGGGUGAUCGGCCACACUGGAACUGAGACACGGUCCAGACUCCUACGGGAGGCAGCAGUAGGGAAUCUUCCGCAAUGGGCGAAAGCUUGACGGAGCAACGCCGCGUGAGUGAUGAAGGUCUUCGGAUCGUAAAACUCUGUUAUUAGGGAAGAACAAAUGUGUAAGUAACUAUGCACGUCUUGACGGUACCUAAUCAGAAAGCCACGGCUAACUACGUG